UGGGAAUUUUGGACAAUGGGCGCAAGCCUGAUCCAGCCAUGCCGCGUGCGGGAAGAAGGCCUUCGGGUUGUAAACCGCUUUUGUCAGGGAAGAAAUCUUCUGAGUUAAUACCUCGGGAGGAUGACGGUACCUGAAGAAUAAGCACCGGCUAACUACGUGCCAGCAGCCGCGGUAAUACGUAGGGUGCAAGCGUUAAUCGGAAUUACUGGGCGUAAAGCGUGCGCAGGCGGUUUUGUAAGACAGAGGUGAAAUCCCCGGGCUCAACCUGGGAACUGCCUUUGUGACUGCAAGGCUUGAGUGCGGCAGAGGGGGAUGGAAUUCCGCGUGUAGCAGUGAAAUGCGUAGAUAUGCGGAGGAACACCGAUGGCGAAGGCAAUCCCCUGGGCCUGCACUGACGCUCAUGCACGAAAGCGUGGGGAGCAAAACAGGAUUAGAUAGCCCUGGUAGUCCACGCCCUAAACGAUGUCAACUGGUUGUUGGGAAGGUUCCUUCUCAGUAACGUAGCUAACGCGUGAAGUUGACCGCCUGGGGAGUACGGCCGCAA
rnacentral:rRNA from 1 species